rnacentral:rRNA from 1 species
GGAGUUAGCCGGUGCUUCUUCUGUGAGUGAUGUCCUUCCUGCCGGUUAUUGACCCGCAGGCCUUCUUCCUCACUGAAAGUGCUUUACAACCCGAAGGCCUUCUUCACACACGCGGCAUGGCUGGAUCAGGGUUGCCCCCAUUGUCCAAUAUUCCCCACUGCUGCCUCCCGUAGGAGUCUGGGCCGUGUCUCAGUCCCAGUGUGGCUGAUCAUCCUCUCAGACCAGCUACGGAUCGUCGCCUUGGUGAGCCGUUACCUCACCAACCAGCUAAUCCGACAUAGGCUCAUCCGAUAGCGCGAGGCCCGAAGGUCCCCCGCUUUCCCCCGUAGGGCGUAUGCGGUAUUAGCCUGGGUUUCCCCCAGGUUAUCCCCCACUACCGGGCAGAUUCCUAUGCAUUACUCACCCGUCCGCCGCUCGCCACCAGGGAGCAAGCUCCCCGUGCUGCCGCUCGACUUGCAUGNGUUAGGCCUGCCGCCAGCGUUCAAUCUGAACCAAGAUCAAAUUCUGA